GUUUGUUGUUAUACCACCCUGAACAUGCCUGAUGUUGUCUGAUCUCAGAAGCUAAGCAGGGUUGGGCCUGGUUAGUACUUGGAGGGGAGACCACCUGAAACUACUGUGUGCUAUAGUCU
rnacentral:rRNA from 1 species